rnacentral:rRNA from 1 species
ACUCAAAUGAAUUGACGGGGGCCCGCACAAGCAGCGGAGCGUGUGGUUUAAUUCGAUGAUACACGAAGAACCUUACCCAGGCUUGACAUGUUGGUAUCGGGGUCUAUGAAAGUAGGCCCCACCCUCGGGAGGCCAUCACAGGUGCUGCAUGGCUGUCGUCAGCUCGUGUCGUGAGAUGUCCGGUUAAGUCCGGUAACGAGCGCAACCCUCGCUGUGUGUUAUAUGUGUCACACGGGACUGCCGGUAUCAAGCCGGAGGAAGGUGGGGAUGACGUCAAGUCAGCAUGGCCUUUAUGUCUGGGGCUACACACACGCUACAAUGGCCAGUACAAUAGGUUGCAAAACCGCGAGGUGGAGCCAAUCCUUAAAGCUGGUCUCAGUUCGGAUUGCAGGCUGCAACUCGCCUGCAUGAAGUCGGAGUUGCUAGUAACCGCGCGUCAGCCAUAGUGCGGUGAAUACGUUCCCGGGCCUUGUACACACCGCCCGU